GACGAACGCUGGCGGCGUGCCUAAUACAUGCAAGUCGAGCGAAGUUUUUCUGGUGCUUGCACCGGAAAAACUUAGCGGCGAACGGGUGAGUAACACGUAAAGAACCUGCCUCAUAGACUGGGACAACUAUUGGAAACGAUAGCUAAUACCGGAUAACAGCAUUAACUGCAUGGUUGAUGUUUAAAAGUUGGUUUUGCUAACACUAUGAGAUGGCUUUACGGUGCAUUAGCUAGUUGGUGGGGUAAAGGCCUACCAAGGCGACGAUGCAUAGCCGACCUGAGAGGGUGAUCGGCCACACUGGGACUGAGACACGGCCCAGACUCCUACGGGAGGCAGCAGUAGGGAAUCUUCCGCAAUGGGCGAAAGCCUGACGGAGCAACGCCGCGUGAGUGAAGAAGGAUUUCGGUUCGUAAAGCUCUGUUGUUAGGGAAGAAUGAUUGUGUAGUAACGAUACACAGUAGAGACGGUACCUAACCAGAAAGCCACGGCUAACUACGUG
rnacentral:rRNA from 1 species